GCACCGUAUAUUACCCAGAAAAUACAAAAUUGUUCAUAGUGUGAGUUUCCGGUCUGAACGUGAUUUUUUCCACACACAUUUUCAUGCUGCAUCAUGGCGUUUACACACUUUCCCCUGAUGGAUUUUUUGCGCAUGCGCACGAGUAACUUCCGUGAAAAUGGACAUCAACAGUAAAAAAAUGUGCUGGUUACCGGAAGUUCACAAGAACCAGUUAAGCGAAGGUAACACCCUACAACAUGAACAUGAACUGAUCACUGAGACUGCAUUGCGUAUGAAAGACAGUUUUAGAAGACGAAUGUCACCUUCGUCAGAAGCAGAUUUUUACUGCCAGGCUGGCUUUGACCAAAAAAGUUUUGAGAUCAAAUUUAUAUCAGACUAUAAAAACAUCCAAAUGGCUAGCUCAGAUGUGGAAGUGGAAUCGGACCCUUUUAGUUGGGAAUUCAAUGGAAAUUCAUUUGACAGUGAUGAUGAUGAUGAGAUUAAUUCAGCUUGUUGUGAUCCUCCUGGACAUCCAAGUGUUUUCGACAUUGAUGAAGAUUUUGUCAAUCUCUCUCUUGGACCAAACCAAGAAAUGAUGGUUUUAAGAAGAUUAUAGGAUAUGUCAUAGAAUACGAAGACCCCACCACUGGAGGCAGGCUAAUGACUACCCAGUAGAUGAGUGUGUUUAUGAGGUGAAGGGAUUAAAAAAGGACAAGGAAUACAACUUCCACAUACAGGCCAAGAAUCUUGAAGGUUUUUAAAUUAGUGAGUCUAGUGAUGUGAUUGGUCCCAUAACUCCCAAGCCCAAAUACACCAAGGUUUUGCCACCUGGUGUACCAGAGGCUGUCAACAAUUCUAUAACUUAUCUGAAAUGGGAACCACCUAAACAUAAUGGUGGCUGUAAAAUUACAGACUACCUUGUAGAAGAGAGGUUUAAGGGAACAGAGAAAUGAGUACCCCUGCACUGACCCCUCUUUACUGUCACCGAUCUUCCUCAGGACUCAGAGUGGGAGUUUAGAGUUACAGCUGAUAACUUUGCUGGAAACUGUGAGCCCAGUCUGUGCUCACCAGCAUACAAAAUCCAGGAGAAGAUUGAGUCUUUUGCAAUUGAGCAGGAUGAGGAAUCACACCAAUCAUUUGUAAAUGAAAGCAGCAGUCAUGAUGUUGUCAAUGAGAAUGAAUUUUAAAUAGGACAUGAUACAGGGCCACUUUUAAGUGAUGAAGCAGACGAGUAUGAUGAUGGUAAUGAUGAUGAAUCAUACCAUCCUUCAAGCGAUGAAAAAAGCUGUGAUGAAGAUACCAUUAAUGAUCUUGAUAUGCCCAGUAAGCCUCUCAAAUCUGAAAUGCAGCAGAAACAAGCUGCACUUGCAAGUGACAGCGAAAAGGACAGUGAAUGUGAAGAUGAUCAUGAUGAUGUCGGCAAAGUUUUACCACAGUCAGAGAAGCGAAAGACCAGGUUUUUAGAGGCCAAAAACAUCGUCUGGGAACUAUGAUAAUAAAAAACAUUCAUGUCUCUUUUGUGAGAAGUUUUGCCAGCAGGCAGUUGAUGGUAUGCAUAUCAUAUAAGCCCAUAGCUCUUUAAGUACAAAAAAUUGUGAGAUUCAUUUUUGCAUAUAGGUUCAGGAUGGAGCUGAAUAUUGAAAAAAUAUAUCCUAUAAAUUUUUUUUCAUGGACAUGUAGCAGACAGCUGUUUGCAUAAUUUAAGCAAGUAAUUUUUUUAACCAAAAUUUGUGAAAUUUAUCGCUCAUGACCCAUUGUUCAUGCAAGGUUUACCUAUUUAUAUUGACACUGCAACAGGCCCAUAGAACCCCCCCCCCCCUCACUUUUUCUGAGUAUAGUAUUUUGCUAUAGUAAAGUAUCCUUUAUAUCCUGGUUGCCCCUCCCCCCCCCCCCCCUUUUGUUGCAAUAAGGUCGGUUCAGUAAAUAAUGUUUUUUUUUGCUUGUCGGAUAUUUUUUGAAGUCCCCCCUACUUUUGAAACCCUUGCUAUGGGCUGUAAAUUGAAGUUUUAAAAAAUCCUUUACUGGUGAACAUCUAGCAGGCAAACUAGCAGGCAUAAAAUUAAAUAUGAAGAUUAUGAAUAGUAAUCAAACUCAAAAGUCCAUUAGAAUAAUCCAUAUUCGUAGCAGAGCAAACAUGGACCUCUAAAAUUAAUCUUAAUUAAUGCUUAGCCCUCUAAUUGAAGGCUUCUUCAUGUUUCAGGCCCAUGAAAAGGCAGAGUUAGUCAUAAAUUAGAAUGUUUUACACAGUAUUAGCCAG